UUGUAUGUCUGAGCUUGUUUUUAUUUUUUAAUUUUAAUUUUUUUGUAAAAUAUUUUAAUUUAGUUUUGUUUUGCUUAGAUGUUAAAAUUUUGGUUUUUGAACUGGAUUAGUACCCAGGUAAUCAAAGUUAAUUAAUGCGGGAGUAAAGUUUUGUUUAAACCGAAAAAAUAUUGACUGACUUUGGAUUUUUCUUUGGAACAUGUGUUUGGAGAGCCCUCUUUAUUGGUAGACUAUGUAGGCACAUGUAUGAUUGUUUAGUUUUUAUGUUAUUAGUAAUGCUUUUUUAAGUAAAAACAGAUAUAUAUUUGGCUAAUGAGUCUAGUUAUCAUGUGUUACUAUUAUUAAUUUUUUUUGGAUAAAUUUAUUUAUUUUAUUUUGAAAUUGGAAAAGAAAGUAAUUUAUU
rnacentral:rRNA from 1 species